rnacentral:rRNA from 1 species
AUUGAACGCUGGCGGAAUGCUUUACACAUGCAAGUCGAACGGCAGCACGGACUUCGGUCUGGUGGCGAGAGGCGAACGGGUGAGUAAUACAUCGGAACGUGCCCAGUCGUGGGGGAUAACGUAGCGAAAGCUACGCUAAUACCGCAUACGAUCUAAGGAUGAAAGCGGGGGAUCGCAAGACCUCGCGCGAUUGGAGCGGCCGAUGGCAGAUUAGGUAGUUGGUGGGGUAAAGGCUCACCAAGCCGACGAUCUGUAGCUGGUCUGAGAGGACGAACAGCCACACUGGGACUGAGACACGGCCCAGACUCCUACGGGAGGCAGCAGUGGGGAAUUUUGGACAAUGGGCGCAAGCCUGAUCCAGCCAUUCCGCGUGCAGGAUGAAGGCCCUCGGGUUGUAAACUGCUUUUGUACGGAACGAAAAGGCUCUGGUUAAUACCUGGGGCUCAUGACGGUACCGUAAGAAUAAGCACCGGCUAACUACGUGCCAGCCGCCGCGGUAA